GAAGUACUACCUCCGUCUCAAAAUUCUUGCCUUUCAUUUGUCUAAAUAUGAAUGUAUCUAGUCAUGUAUUAGUAUUUAGAUACAUCUAUUUCUAAACAAAUCUAAGACAAUAAUUUUGGGACGGAGGGAGUAGUAC
rnacentral:pre_miRNA from 1 species